rnacentral:rRNA from 1 species
UUCUGGUUGAUCCCGCCGGAGGUCACUGCUAUCGGUGUCCGAUUAAGCCAUGCGAGUCGAGAGGUGUAAGACCUCGGCAGACUGCUCAGUAACACGUGGAUAACCUGCCCAAGGGUCCGGGAUAACCCCGGGAAACUGGGGAUAAUACCGGAUGGGUCACCAGUGCUGGAAUGCUUGGUGGUCGAAAGGUGACGCCUUUGGAUGGGUCUGCGGCGGAUUAGGUUGACGCCGGUGUAACGUACCGGCGUGCCUGUAAUCCGUACGGGUUGUGGGAGCAAGAGCCCGGAGAUGGAUUCUGAGACACGAAUCCAGGCCCUACGGGGCGCAGCAGGCGCGAAAACUCUACAAUGCAGGCAACUGCGAUAGGGGGACAUCGAGUGGCACCCACCUUGGGUGCCUGUCCCACCGUCUAAAAAACGGUGGUUAGCAAGGGCCGGGCAAGACCAGUGCCAGCCGCCGCGGUAAUACCGGCGGCUCGAGUGGUGGCCGAUAUUAUUGAGUCUAAAGGGUCCGUAGCCGGCUUUGCAAGUCCCCUGGGAAAUCCGGCGGCUUAACCGUUGGGCUUUCAUGGGAUACUACAUUGCUUGGGACUGGGAGAGGUAGGAGGUACUCGGGGGGUAGGGGUGAAAUCCUGUAAUCCUCCGGGGACCACCGGUGGCGAAGGCGUCCUACCAGAACAGGUCCGACGGUGAGGGACGAAAGCUAGGGGCACGAACCGGAUUAGAUACCCGGGUAGUCCUAGCCGUAAACGAUGCCCGCUAGGUGUCACGACGGUCGUGAAUCGUCGUGGUGCCGUAGGGAAGCCGCGAAGCGGGCCACUUGGGAAGUACGGCCGCAAGGCUGAGACUUAAAGGAAUUGGCGGG